rnacentral:rRNA from 1 species
UACGAGUGCCUCAAGCGUUAUCCGGAAUCAUUGGGCGUAAAGGUUGUGUAGGUGGUCAUAUUAGUCUUCUGUUAAAUUCUUCGGCUUAACCGGGGGCAUGCAGGGGAAACGGUAUGACUAGAGGAUGCGAGGGGUCUGCGGAACUCAUAGUGUAGCGGUGAAAUGCGUUGAUAUUAUGGGGAACACCAAAAGCGAAGGCAGCAGACUGGAGCACUCCUGACACUGAAACAAGAAAGCGUGGGUCGCGAAUGGG